rnacentral:rRNA from 1 species
GACGAACGCUGGCGGCGUGCUUAACACAUGCAAGUCGUACGGUAAGGCCCUUUCGGGGGUACACGAGUGGCGAACGGGUGAGUAACACGUGAGUAACCUGGCCACAACUUUGGGAUAACGCUAGGAAACUGGUGCUAAUACUGGAUAUGUGCUCCUGCUGCAUGGUGGGGGUUGGAAAGCUCCGGCGGUUGUGGAUGGACUCGCGGCCUAUCAGCUUGUUGGUGGGGUAGUGGCCUACCAAGGCGGCGACGGGUAGCCGGCCUGAGAGGGUGACCGGCCACAUUGGGACUGAGAUACGGCCCAGACUCCUACGGGAGGCAGCAGUGGGGAAUAUUGCACAAUGGGCGCAAGCCUGAUGCAGCAACGCCGCGUGCGGGAUGACGGCCUUCGGGUUGUAAACCGCUUUCAGCAGGGACGAAGCUUUUUGUGACGGUACCUGCAGAAGAAGCACCGGCUAACUACGUG